UACGAAGGUCCCGAGCGUUAUUCGGAAUCACUGGGCGUAAAGAGUAUGUAGGCGGCGUGGAAAGUCAGGUGUGAAAGCCCGGGGCUCAACCCCGGAACGGCACCCGAUACUCCCACGCUAGAGUAAUGGAGGGGAGUCUGGAAUUCACGGUGUAGCAGUGAAAUGCGUGGAUAUCGUGAGGAACACUAGUGGCGAAGGCGAGACUCUGGACAUUUACUGACGCUGAGAUACGAAGGCUAGGGUAGCGAACGGG
rnacentral:rRNA from 1 species